rnacentral:rRNA from 1 species
AACGAACGCUGGCGGCAUGCCUAACACAUGCAAGUCGAACGAGAACUUCGGGCCUAGUGGCGCACGGGGGCGUAACGCGUGGGAACCUGCCCUUAGGUUCGGAAUAACUCCCCGUAAGGGGUGCUAAUACCGGAUAAUGUCUUCGGACCAACGAUUUAUCGCCUUUGGCUGGGCCCGCGUUGGAUUAGCUGGUUGGUAGGGUAAAAGCCUGCCAAGGCGACGAUCCAUAGCUGGUCUGAGAGGAUGAUCAGCCGCACUGGGACUGAGACACGGCCCAGACUCGUACGGGAGGGAGCAGUGGGGAGUAUUAGACGAUGAGCGAAAGCCUGGUCCAGCAAUGCCGGGUGAGUGAUGAAGGCCUUAGGGUUGUAAAGCUCUUUUACCCGGGAUGAUAAUGACGGUACCGGGAGAAUAAGCUCCGGCUAACUCCGUG